AGUGAACGCUGGCGGUAGGCCUAACACAUGCAAGUCGAACGGCAGCACAGGAGAGCUUGCUCUCUGGGUGGCGAGUAGCGGACGGGUGAGGAAUACAUCGGAAUCUACUUUUUCGUGGGGGAUAACGUAGGGAAACUUACGCUAAUACCGCAUACGACCUACGGGUGAAAGCAGGGGACCUUCGGGCCUUGCGCGAUUGAAUGAGCCGAUGUCGGGUUAGCUAGUUGGCGGGGUAAACGCCCACCAAGGAGACGAUCCGUAGCUGGUCUGAGGGGAUGAUCAGCCACUCUGGAACUGAGACACGGUCCAGACUCCUACGGGAGGCAGCAGUGGGGAAUAUUGGACAAGGGGCGCAAGCCUGAUUCAGCAAUACCGCGUGGGUGAAGAAGGCCUUCGGGUUGUAAAGCCCUUUUGUUGGGAAAGAAAGCCCGCUGGCUAAUACCCGGUUGGGAUGACGGUACCCAAAGAAUAAGCACCGGCUAACUUCGUGCCAGCAGCCGCCGUAA
rnacentral:rRNA from 1 species